rnacentral:lncRNA from 1 species
UUUAGAGAAGACUUGUCUUAUGAUGAACAGCUUAUACGUAUUGUUGACAGAAAGGAACAUGUAUUAAGAAUAUGCAUGAUUCACUAUGUUAAGAUCCAGUAUAGUAAUCACACAGAACGUGAGGUUACUUGAGAACUGGAGGAUCAGAUGAAUGAGAAAUAUCAAGAUAUUUUGGUAAAUUGGGGUAUGUCAAAUUUUGAGGAUGAAAUUUUCAAAAGGAGAAGAAGAUG